rnacentral:rRNA from 1 species
GAUACUCUCGGGAACUGAGGCUAAUAGUGCAUACGGCUCGGUGUCUGGAGUGACCCGAGUCAGAAACGCUCAGGCGCGAUAGGAUGUGGCUGCGGCCGAUUAGGUAGACGGUGGGGUAACGGCCCACCGUGCCAAUAAUCGGUACGGGUUGUGAGAGCAAGAGCCCGGAGACGGUAUCUGAGACAAGAUACCGGGCCCUACGGGGCGCAGCAGGCGCGAAACCUUUACACUGCACGCGAGUGCGAUAAGGGGACUCCAAGUGCGAGGGCAUAUAGUCCUCGCUUUUUCCGACCGUAGGAUGGUCGGCGAAUAAGUGCUGGGCAAGACCGGUGCCAGCCGCCGCGGUAAUACCGGCAGCACGAGUGAUGACCGCUAUUAUUGGGCCUAAAGCGUCCGUAGCUGGCCACGCAAGUCCAUCGGGAAAUCUCUCCGCUCAACGGAGAGGCGUCCGGUGGAAACUGUGUGGCUUGGGACCGGAAGAUCCAGAGGGUACGUCUGGGGUAGGAGUGAAAUCCCGUAAUCCGAGACGGACCACCGGUGGCGAAAGCGCUCUGGAAAGACGGAUCCGACGGUGAGGGACGAAAGCUCGGGUCACGAACCGGAUUAGAUACCCGGGUAGUCCGAGCUGUAAACGAUGUCUGCUAGGUGUGACACAGGCUACGAGCCUGUGUUGUGCCGUAGGGAAGCCGUGAAGCAGACCGCCUGGGAAGUACGUCGCAGGAAGAAACUUAAAGGAAUUGGCGGGGGAGCACUACAACCGGAGGAGCCUGGGGUUUAAUUGGACUCAACGCCGGACAUCUCACCAGCAUCGACAGUGUGCAGUGAAAGUCACUGUGAUGAGCUUACUGGAGCCACUGAAAUGAGGUGCAUGGCCGCCGUCAGCUCUUACCGUGAGGCGUCCUGUUAAGUUAGGCAACGAGCGAGACCCGCACCCUUAAUUGCCCCCUCACCCUUGAGGUGGUUGGGUACAUUAAGAGGACUGCCAGUGGGU